rnacentral:rRNA from 1 species
UACGUAGGGGGCAAGCGUUGUCCGGAAUUAUUGGGCGUAAAGAGCUCGUAGGCGGUUUGUCGCGUCUGCUGUGAAAUCCCGAGGCUCAACCUCGGGUCUGCAGUGGGUACGGGCAGACUGGAGUGCGGUAGGGGAGAAUGGAAUUCCUGGUGUAGCGGUGGAAUGCGCAGAUAUCAGGAGGAACACCGAUGGCGAAGGCAGUUCUCUGGGCCGUAACUGACGCUGAGGAGCGAAAGCGUGGGGAGCGAACAGG